rnacentral:rRNA from 1 species
AUGAUCAUGAUUAGUGCCAUUGUCAUAUUUUGCUUCUUGCAUCAUGUUCAUCUUUUAUUAUAUUCCAUUAUGCCAUCCUUGUUUGUUUUGCCAUGCCUAUCUCUUGUCAUAUUGCUUUUGGUCAUUCAUGUUGUUGCCAUGAGCAUCAUGUGCAUUGCACUCAGCCUUACGUUACAUGUUACUUUCUUCUUGUGUGUGCAUCAGCCCUUGCUCUCUCUCUCAAGCAAUGCCCAUGUAUCAUCACCUCUCCCUUCCUCCUUCCUUCAUGUUUUUGCAAGUGACAUUAUUCCCUCCUCCAUUAAUGUUUAUUUAUUUCCUGAUGAUCUUACUCCAUGCCUUAUACCUUUCUGUCAAGUAUCAUCCAUUUUGGAGUUGUUUUGGUUGGGUUCAAAAAUGGCUCAAGUUUGA